rnacentral:misc_RNA from 1 species
AAAGUCGUAACAAGGUUUCCGUAGGUGAACCUGCGGAAGGAUCAUUAACGAGUUCAAAAGUCGGUCGACCGUGCUGGCGGAGACGCAUGUGCACGUCGGUCGCGAACCAUCCACACACCGUGAACCUAUGGCCCGGGGUUUUCUUGACCUCGGGCACCAUUUUUUACACUCUGUUCGUAAAGGAAUGUCUUUAUAUCAUAAACAUACAACUUUCAACAACGGAUCUCUUGGCUCUC